GCUUCGGAAACGGGACGCAGCUCGUCUUCCCCGAGGAACCAGACCGGACAGUGGUCAGUCCCAGUCCCUGCCUGACGUGCUGGACUCUUCUGCCCUCUGUGAGUGUGGUCUGUGUCAUCGUGUCCUCCGUCUGCGUUUUCUCCUGCGUUUCCCUUAGAAGAGGCAGCAGAAGCUCUGAGAGUCGCCCCCAGACUGGUGGACACAGCGAGAGACAGGACAGUCAGGAAGAGGAGGCAGGACUGCAGUACGCCACUAUAGAGAUCAGCAGGCAAAACACGAAGCACAAGAAGAGAGGUGGCCACAACACACAGCCCACUACAUAUGCCGAGAUCAAGCAUGGGAGACAUGCGUGACAGUCAAGUACACAAAAUACACAAGGAGCACUUAGCAGACUGAAAAACAUAAUCAGGUUGACUACUGGAAAUCAAAAUUGAUAAAUGUGUAACAACCCAUAAAAAAGUUUUUUUAUCAAGACGUCCAGUGGAGAACUAGUUAAACUGGAUUGAACUGUCCAUUUACACAAGAACCCUGUGAAACUGUGAUUUCUGUUAGCUUGAUCAUUUUUCUGUAUGUCUGGUUGUUUUGCUCCAUUGAUUUGAUUAAUUGGUGCCUGUUUACAGUCCAGUGUCCCCCGUCACUAUACUGGGGCAUCAGGACCCCCACAGACCGCAGG